UGGGGAAUAUUGCACAAUGGGCGAAAGCCUGAUGCAGCAACGCCGCGUGAGUGAUGAAGGUCUUCGGAUUGUAAAGCUCUGUCUUUUGGGACGAUAAUGACGGUACCAAAGGAGGAAGCCACGGCUAACUACGUGCCAGCAGCCGCGGUAAUACGUAGGUGGCGAGCGUUGUCCGGAUUUACCGGGCGUAAAGGGUGCGUAGGCGGAUGUUUAAGUGAGAUGUGAAAUACCCGGGCUUAACUUGGGUGCUGCAUUUCAAACUGGAUAUCUAGAGUGCAGGAGAGGAGAAUGGAAUUCCUAGUGUAGCGGUGAAAUGCGUAGAGAUUAGGAAGAACACCAGUGGCGAAGGCGAUUCUCUGGACUGUAACUGACGCUGAGGCACGAAAGCGUGGGUAGCAAACAGGAUUAGAUACCCUGGUAGUCCACGCCGUAAACGAUGAGUACUAGGUGUAGGAGGUAUCGACCCCUUCUGUGCCGCAGUAAACACAUUAAGUACUCCGC
rnacentral:rRNA from 1 species